UUUUGAGCAACUUAUUUGCAUUUUUAAUUGCAGGGAAAAUUUUGGAAACACAAUUUGGGACAUUUGGAGUUCACCAAAUAAAUUCAAGACUCUCAAAUUCGACAUUUUAAAUUUAGUUGUAUUGUAAUUUAAUUGUUUAAACUUUUUGAACAAACUUUUGCACAUUGGGCCAUUGUUAAAAAAAUUAGGAGGGGCCCAAAAUUUAGUUGUAAGACACUUGCCCUAGGUUUUCUUUUUAUUUUUUAGGGUGGACCCCACCCAUUUUUAUUAGGACACAUGGUCCUAGGGAUCACCAACAUUCCAGCAGCCGUCACAUUGCAAGGCAUGGUUCUCUCGACAUUUUCUAAGCUGCAGUGACACACUUGGCUUUUGGAAAAAACAUUUUUUUCUCCAAGAAGCUCAUAGGAACGGUGAUGGAUUAUGGUUGAAUGAAGGAUCAACAUUUUUCUUUUCCCUUUCAUUUUAUGCAAAAGCUGAAAAAUUUUCCUUUGACUUUAUCAUUAUUCACGCUGCCAGCAUUGAAGAGAGAGGAGCCGAUCCCUCUCUCUCGGUUUCUUUUAUUUAUUUUGGCUUUCAACAUUUUGCUUUUUGCUGUCAGCCACCACUCUACUUGUAACGUUUUUUUUUCGUUGAGGGGAUGAUUAGACGCUGACUCAAGGGAGUUCAACAUUUUUUUUAGUGAAUUAUUAGUCUAGCAUUUUGUUAUGGAAGCUUUAAGCACGUGAUGUAGCAUUUUUCAAUUGAGAAGAGUAGUGCACGNCUGGGAUGCAUAUGCUUUUAGGAGGCGGUGAUUCAUGAUUAAAAGGGCUGGAAAGUUUUGAGUUUUUCAUUGAAUAUAAUUUUGCAUACUGUAGCGUGUUGAAGGGAUUGGAAUGAUUAAGUAGAUUAGGCGGGAAUAGAGGUAUAGGACAUUGGCAGCCAUAGGUAGCUAGUUUUACUUUUCUUUCAUUUAUUUGAUAAAUACUAGAUGGAAAGUGGUAGUGUACGGUGGCAUUUCUUUUUCGCCAUUCAUUUAAUUUCUUCAAUAGUCUUGCCACGGUUGAAGCUUACAUGGAGAAGCAC
rnacentral:lncRNA from 1 species